rnacentral:rRNA from 1 species
UGCGUAGGGUGCAAGCGUUAAUCGGAAUUACUGGGCGUAAAGCGUGCGCAGGCGGUUGUGCAAGACAGAUGUGAAAUCCCCGGGCUCAACCUGGGAACUGCAUUUGUGACUGCACAGCUUGAGUGCGGCAGAGGGGGAUGGAAUUCCGCGUGUAGCAGUGAAAUGCGUAGAUAUGCGGAGGAACACCGAUGGCGAAGGCAAUCCCCUGGGCCUGCACUGACGCUCAUGCACGAAAGCGUGGGGAGCAAACAGG